GAUGAACGCUGGCGGCGUGCAUAACACAUUCAAGUCGAACGGUGAAGGGACUUCGGUCCCUGAUCAGUGGCGGACGGGUGAGUAACGCGUGAGUAACCUGCCUAUGCGUGUGGAAUAACACAGGGAAACUUGUGCUAAUACCGCAUAAUAUGUAUUUGUUGCAUGAUAGAUACAUCAAAGAGCAAUUGCGCAUAGAUGGACUCGCGUCUGAUUAGAUAGUUGGUGAGGUAACGGCUCACCAAGUCGACGAUCAGUAGCCGAACUGAGAGGUUGAACGGCCACAUUGGAACUGAGAAACGGUCCAGACUCCUACGGGAGGAAGCAGUGGGGAAUAUUGGGCAAUGGACGAAAGUCUGACCCAGCGACGCCGCGUGAGGGAAGAAGGUCUUCGGAUUGUAAACCUCUGUUGUAAGGGAAGAAGAAAGUGACGGUACCUUACGAGGAAGCCACGGCUAACUACGUGCCAGCAGCCGCGGUAACAC
rnacentral:rRNA from 1 species